ensembl:snoRNA
UUGCAUGUGGAAAUGUCUGCCCCUCUUUCCUUUGGGGUAGGAACGCAUCCAUAAGCAUGCUAUAUUCAAAAAGGAGUUCUCAGGGCUGCCAGCCUUACAGUAGAGGCUGAGUAGUAGUAUAUUUCUCCUACAUAA